rnacentral:sRNA from 3 species
GCCGCUGCACAAUCAGCGGCCGGGCCUGGAAACCCGAUGAAGUAAACGGCGCAGCAGCGCCACCUAUCACGAAUGCCGGCGCUUUUUUU